CUUGUCUCAGUGUCUGACACUGUAACCACCAAUAGUUUAUACUUAUACCCAUCUCUGUAUGCUGCAAUUCUACAUAACAAUCUGCAAUUCUAUGUUUCAUCAAGGCAUUGCAUAGCAUUAACAGAUCAAUUGGAUCAUGGGCAUUUAAGUUUUUACAUCAAGUUGCUGAAUAAGCAAGACCUUUUUUAAGGUGAAGUUUUUGGGGACAUGGACCGAGCACAUCUUAAUUGCAAGGCAAGUGGGUGAAUACUUUGCGUAACCAGCUUCAGCUACAAACAUCAGCUUCACAGCCCAAUUUGUGGACAAAUGCAAAAGGUUCUCUCUUGACCAGUUAAUUGCUACUUCUGAAGCAGUUGAUGAUGAUGGUUAUCAAACAAACUAUAAUAGGGAUAUGUUCUAUCAUUUCCAUUCCCAAUAAAAAGCAUGCAGCAAACUUCUAAAUGCAAACAGAGUGAAAAAAAUGACAAGAAGCAAGAUUCUGUUUUAUUGGUUAUCAUCACAGAUUAUCUGUAAGUUAUGUUUUGACACAGAAUUUUGGGAAUGCAUCACAGACAGCAGUUUCAGGGCUAGGGGCUAUAAGGUCGACUAAGCUCUUUGUAUGUCAAUUCGUUGGCUGCUACCUGCUGGAUUUUCCCUCUUUGACUUUCUAAGAACGUACCUGCUCUUGAUUUGAAAUUUAUGCUGCGCCGCUAUUUAAUGAAUUAAUCCAGUAGGCGGAACCUGCCGAAAGAUCGGCAACGACUGUCGACUGACGGACGUGCUAUUAUUCUGCAAUACUGCUCACUUGCGUGCCAACUUUUCAUUGCCCCGAGGCAUGUGAGAGUUGAGCCUGCUCCAGCUACCCGGCCAGCAUCAUUUGUCUACACAGCCGACUGUACUACUACCCCAGCCCUCACCUAGCACGGAGUUUCUUGAGGGCGACGAGAUCAUGAUAUUGAUGAGGAGAAUAUGUUACACAUUGAUCUUUGCUUCCUCAAACGGGAUUGCGGUGUUUAUUCUUGCGUAACUUGAAGUCUUCUGCGCAUGAAAGUAAACGGGAGAAGAUUUGACGUCAACGUAACCAAUCUAUUUCUGAAAACCUAUUAUUGUG
rnacentral:lncRNA from 1 species